UCAAUCUGGAUUAAUUAAUGAAAUAUAUAUGAGUUGAAACUGAAAGUCAGAUAUUUUCCAAUUCAAAAAAACGCGUUACACAAAUCCCACUUCAAUAUGGAUUAAUUAAUGAAAUGUGAGUUGAAACUGAAAGUGUGCAAUUCAAGAAAAACCGUUACACUUACACAAAUCCGACUUCAAUAUGGAUUUAUUUUAGCGAUAUAAAAAGGAAGGCAAGGAGUUGUCACUUGUUUGUUUUUGGGUCUGUCCGUAUGAGUUUCUACAUGUCUGUCCGUAUAUAUGCGUCGAUGUUUUUCUGUGUGUUUAUCUAUGUGUUGGUGUCUUUUUCGACAACUACCGCAGCAGCAGGUAUGCUUUGUUGAAUUUGUCCAGGGUUUUGUUUAAUGGUGAGGAUGUACGGGCGAUAGACUGGGUGAAUUACCCAUUUCAAAUGCAUUACUCAGCGGCGGGACACCAGUGGACGCCAAAAUCAAUCUUUUUGAUAAUUGCUGUGUUGUUGAAGAUAUAUUGAAAAAGCUGUCGGGUCCUAUGCCUUUGGUGAAGCAAUGGCUUGGUACGUGACUUACUUGAGAUAGAUACUGAAACGGAAUGGUGGAGAGCAUGUUGUUUUUUUGAUGGCUUCGACAAGCUACUGCUUCAAACCGAGAUCAAGACUUAUUCUCUCCGUA